rnacentral:lncRNA from 1 species
UUGGCAAUGCACUCCCUGCCUUCCCCCUCUCCAGUUGUCUUUUUGUGCCCAUUUACCUGCUGCUGUUGUGCAAAGGUGUUUUUCUCUCCGGCUAGUGAUCAAGCUGGAGGGCAACAUCCAAGCAGCUCCUCCCGGGCCGCGGUUGCCGGGGCAACAGGGCGCGCGCCUCCUUUGUCCUCUCCAACCCAGCCAGACUUGGCUUUCGCCUGCAAUUCCUGCCCGCCGGAGCCCAAGGAAGGACAAGGACGUGCGGAAGCCUGCCUUGUGAAGAUACGGUUAAGUCCUGGAGGAAGCUGCUCAUGAUGGCCUUAUUAUGAUCUCUAAGACAAACGUGAGCUCAUCAGCUGGACUUGGCGUCCCGCCCCAACUCUCUCCUCCUCUUUUUCGUUCCUCUCAUUUUGAUGCCUGGCUGCCGGAGAUCAGAAAGCGUCAUCCAUCCUAACGUAGUUUUAUGACAUCAGAGGUAUGUGGACGAAUCAUCUUUGAAAAGGGCUUGUGCUGGGGAUAUGACAGUUGCGUUAGAACGCAGGGAAAACUGCCAACAGUUGAAAAACAAAAGCAAGCGGCUCUUAGAGUUUGUUGUUGUAGACUGGUCCUUAUGGGCACCGGAAAAAGAGAAUAUGCCCAGUGUUUUAUGUCAUCAUUCCACUAUUUCAUCACUAUACAGCUCUAAUCUAUGUGACUUGCAGCACUGUAAAUAUUUUCUACCAAGAUGAUGCACAAGUAUUGCCUCAAUUCAAAAGCAUUAUUUCUGGUAAAAGUCUCAUAAUAUCUCAUCUCCAGAAGAGGGAGGCCAAAAUAGUAAAAGUCCUGGAAACUAUGCCCUUUUAGGAGUAACUAAGGAAGCUGGGUAUGUUUAGCCCAGAAAAGAUUGAAAGAUGAAAUGACAGCCAUGUUGAAAUAUUUGAAAGGAUCUCAAAUUGAAGAUGGAGCCAGAUCGUUUUCUGCUACUCCAGAAACUAGAACACAAAACGACGCAUUCAAACCACAGGAAAAGAGAUUCCUCCUAAGCAUUAGAAAUAACUCCUUAAUGGUAAGAGCUGUUUUGGCAAUGAAAGUUUGGUUGAUUCUCCUUCUCUGAAGUUUUUAAGGCUGUCUGUUGGAAGUGCUUUACUUGUUUUAUUCUGCAUGAUCGGGGUUUGAACUGGAUGGCCCUCAGGACCUCUUCCAGCUCUGUAUUUUUAUGAUGCUAUGCAAUGACUCCAGGCCAUAUUUAUGAAAACGUUUUUGGAGAUUUCUCAGUCCCAAAACAAGCCUGCUUCUUGUUGUAUGCCAUGAAGUCAUUUCUGACUUACAGCAAUUUUAAGGCAAACAUAUCAUGGGAUUUUCUGGGACUGAGACUGUGUGACACGUGGGUUUCUCCAUGACUGAGAGAUAAUCAAACCCUGGUCUCCAGACCUAUAAUCCAAUGCUCAAACCACUACAUCAUGCUGGCACUCAACUCUAAACAAAACAUCCAUGCUGUUGGGGAUGUCUUGUAUGAUGCACACACAUCUGUUGCAACUCUUAAUAUUGUCCGACUAAAAUUUCCCUAGUCAGGCCCUUAGUUAUUGACAGUAAUUGUUUGAGAAAAAGAGACCAAAACUCAUUGGUGAGGACAGACCCUCUUUCAUCACCAAGGUCUCUUUCAUACUAUAUCAUUAUAGAAUUCUGAAACCACGAGUGAUCUUUGGAAGCUUGGGAUUUGUAGUCCUGUGGGAUAUUGGAGAGCAC